GACGAACGCUGGCGGCGUGCCUAAUACAUGCAAGUUGAGCGCUGAAGGUUGGUACUUGUACCGACUGGAUGAGCAGCGAACGGGUGAGUAACGCGUGGGGAAUCUGCCUUUGAGCGGGGGACAACAUUUGGAAACGAAUGCUAAUACCGCAUAAAAACUUUAAACACAAGUUUUAAGUUUGGAAGAUGCAAUUGCAUCACUCAAAGAUGAUCCCGCGUUGUAUUAGCUAGUUGGUGAGGUAAAGGCUCACCAAGGCGAUGAUACAUAGCCGACCUGAGAGGGUGAUCGGCCACAUUGGGACUGAGACACGGCCCAAACGCCUACGGGAGGCAGCAGUAGGGAAUCUUCGGCAAUGGACGAAAGUCUGACCGAGCAACGCCGCGUGAGUGAAGAAGGUUUUCGGAUCGUAAAACUCUGUUGGUAGAGAAGAACGUUGGUGAGAGUGGAAAGCUCAUCAAGUGACGGUAACUACCCAGAAAGGGACGGCUAACUACGUG
rnacentral:rRNA from 1 species